GUUAACAUUCAGAUGCCAUCUGAAAAAUGAAAAUCGUCCUUCCUUUUCACUCCGUGUUUAUCAGGGCAGCAGCUUUGGGAUCUCUUUAGGAUAGGUCAGGCUUAAAACAGCAACACUGUUCAUUUUCUUUAAUAUGUAUACACAUGUGAGUGCCAUUUCUGCAGGACCCUCUGCUAGAGGGAGUUAUGCAAAAGAGUAUUAAAUGUAAUUUUUCUUUUUAAGGAUUUGCAGCCUCGUGACAAUAUGAGCCAAGCAGAUACAAAGACAGAUAUCUGUAAUAAAACGGGAGAGCAGAUGCCAACAGCCAGGGGAAAGGAGUUUCUCCUCAAAUAUUUGGUGACCAUGUGGUUUGGCUGAAGGGAAGAACGUUUAUGAACACAGCAGAAUAUUGGCGUCAGAAUGUCCUAGAUAUCUGAAUCCUAAGGGACUGACCGGGCUGGACAUCAAACCAAGAUUCUGAUAAAAGGAGAUAACAGAGACUGACCAAAGAAGGAAAGGUGCUUUGCUUAGCCUGAGUCAGAUGUACCGAGAGACGCUUAGGAAGCAGCUAACUCAGGAAGUUUUGAGCUCG
rnacentral:lncRNA from 1 species